rnacentral:pre_miRNA from 1 species
ACCAACUUCUUUGCAAAGCCAUAUUGUCACUUAAUCUAUGGAAUGUAAAGAAGUUUGUGG